AUUCCGAUUUUAAAAUCGCUGCAUUGGCUCCCUGUGAAAUUCAGAAUUGAUUUUAAAAUUCUUUUAUUGGUUUAUAAAUGUUUUAUAGUGUCGGGCCUUCUUAUUUAUCUGAUAUAAUUUUAAGGUAUGAGCCCUCGUGGGUUUUUUAUUAUUUAUUUAUUAAAUAUAAAUGUAUUUAUUUAUUAAAUAAAUUUAUUUAUUUAUAUUAUUUAUUCCUUACCUUUGUGUGGCAACAUGUCGAUGUGUGUUUGUGUUUGUCUGUGUGUGUGGAGAGGUGGGGGGUGGGGGUUGAGGACAUUGUUUAGCUCCUACAAUGUUUCCUGUUCUCUGUUUUUUUUUAAAAAAAUGAUUGUUUUUAUGUCCAGCACUUUGAUUGAUUGUAUUUUUCUGGAAAGGUGCUACACAAAUAAAGUUUGAUUUGAUUUGAUUUUAAAGAAGCACUGAGCUAUCUUGAUGGUGCUUCAGAUAAGCAGAAAGUGGCUCAAUUCUUUAUUAUUUUCUGUUAUGAGUGUAAUAGAGCAGAAUAGAGGGAAAAGAAAAGAACUAACAAAGAACUCAUCAAGCUUCAAAGGAAAAACUGUUGUAACAAGACACAGACAGACACGUCAGUCUGCGGCCAUGGAAGAGGAAAGCCCCCGCUGGAGCGAGAUGAAAACAUGACAAAGUAACACCUGUCUUUACUCCUGACAGAGCAAAACAGUACAGUAUGUUAGCUGGAAACUGGGUGUCGGGGUGCAGGUGCCUCCCCUCCGUUAACUGACCUCAGUGAAGCACUUGUUGAGGGUGGCUGGCACCUCUCCAUCCAGGACCUGCAGGACGGCCUCGAUGUCUUCUCUGGCAGCAUAUCCACCCAAAUCGUUGGCAAACAAGCUGAAGAGGUCUGAGGACACCCGCAGACACACAGCUGGUUACAGGAGAAUUAACAAGACGUCCUGACGGCUUCACAUUCCCAUCAUUUCCUCUGACCUGCUGGCUUCAACUUUCUCUCAAGUGUAAGAAUGUGCGACACCUCAGGCUCUUUUAAAGACAGCGGCAGCCUUGCAUCCUGCAUCUGGACCUCUGUCACCAUGGUAACAGCUGCCAUGGUGACUAGGAAGCAAGAGCAUAAAGAGAAUGCUGCGAUAGGCCGUGCACUGCAGCGUUCAGGGAAGAUGUCGUGGCACGGGGGAGGACAGGACAGAGAAGGCUGGCUUCACUGAGGAUGUCUGAAGACAUGCGGGAUGA